CCUACGGGAGGCAGCAGUCGAGAAUCAUUCACAAUGGGGGAAACCCUGAUGGUGCGACGCCGCGUGGGGGAAUGAAGGUCUUCGGAUUGUAAACCCCUGUCAUGUGGGAGCAAAUUAAAAAGAUAGUACCCCAAGAGGAAGAGACGGCUAACUCUGUGCCAGCAGCCGCGGUAAUACAGAGGUCUCAAGCGUUGUUCGGAAUCACUGGGCGUAAAGCGUGCGUAGGCUGUUUCGUAAGUCGUGUGUGAAAGGCGCGGGCUCAACCCGCGGACGGCACAUGAUACUGCGAGACUAGAGUAAUGGAGGGGGAACCGGAAUUCUCGGUGUAGCAGUGAAAUGCGUAGAUAUCGAGAGGAACACUCGUGGCGAAGGCGGGUUCCUGGACAGUAACUGACGCUGAGGCACGAAGGCCAGGGGAGCGAAAGGGAUUAGAUACCCUAGUAGUC
rnacentral:rRNA from 1 species